CCUACGGGAGGCAGCAGUGGGGAAUCUUUGGCAAUGGGCGCAAGCCUGACCCAGCAACGCCGCGUGAAGGAAGAAGGCUUUCGGGUUGUAAACUUCUUGUGUCAGGGAAGAGUAGAAGACGGUACCUGACGAAUAAGCCACGGCUAACUAAGUGCCUGCAGCCGCGGUAAUACGUAGGGGGCAAGCGUUUGCCGGAUUUACUGGGGGUAAAGGGCGUGUAGCCGGGUUGACAAGUCAGAUGUGAAAUCCUGCGGCUUAACCCGCGAACUGCAUUUGAAACUGUUGAUCUAGAGUACUGGAGGGGCAGACGGAAGUCCUGGUGUAGCGGUGAAAUGCGUAGAUAUUAGGAGGAACACCAGUGGCGAAGGCGGUCUGCUGGACAGUAACUGACGUUGAGGCGCGAAAGCGUGGGGAGCAAACAGGAUUAGAUACCCCUGUAGUC
rnacentral:rRNA from 1 species